GAUGAACGCUGACCGAAUGCUUAACACAUGCAAGUCAACUGUGGCGGACGGGUGAGUAACGCGUAAAUAACUUGCCUCUCAGAUAGGAACCACAUUUGGAAACGCAUGCUACUACCUGCUACUGUGGGAGAGCUUUGCGUCCCAUUAGCUAGUUGGCGAUGUACCGGCUCACAAAGGCGAUGAUUUGUAGCCGGCCUGAGAGGGUGAUCGGCCACAAGGGGACGGAGACACGGCCCUUACUCCUACGGGAGGCAGCAGGUGGGAAUAGUGGGCAAUGGACCAAAGUCGGAUCCAGCAAUUCUGUGUGAACGAUGAAGUUUUCGGAAUGUAAAGUGCUUUCAGUGGGGAAGCGGUACCAACAGAAGAAGUGACGGCUAAAUACGUGCCAGCAGCCGCGGUAAUUC
rnacentral:rRNA from 1 species